GACGGAGGAUGCAAGCGUUAUCCGGAAUGAUUGGGCGUAAAGCGUCCGCAGGUGGCAGUUCAAGUCUGCUGUCAAAGACCGGGGCUUAACUUCGGAAAGGCAGUGGAAACUGAACAGCUAGAGUAUGGUAGGGGCAGAGGGAAUUCCUGGUGUAGCGGUGAAAUGCGCAGAUAUCAGGAGGAACACCAAUGGCGAAGGCAGCACUCUGGGACGUGACUGACGCUGAGACGCGAAAGCGUGGGGAGCAAACAGGG
rnacentral:rRNA from 1 species